UACGGAGGGAGCUAGCGUUGUUCGGAAUUACUGGGCGUAAAGCGCACGUAGGCGGCUUUGUAAGUUAGAGGUGAAAGCCCGGGGCUCAACCCCGGAAUUGCCUUUAAGACUGCAUCGCUUGAAUCCGGGAGAGGUGAGUGGAGUUCCGAGUGUAGAGGUGAAAUUCGUAGAUAUUCGGAAGAACACCAGUGGCGAAGGCGGCUCACUGGACCGGUAUUGACGCUGAGGUGCGAAAGCGUGGGAGCAAACAGG
rnacentral:rRNA from 1 species